rnacentral:rRNA from 1 species
CCUACGGGUGGCUGCAGUGGGGAAUAUUGGACAAUGGGGGGAACCCUGAUCCAGCCAUGCCGCGUGUGUGAAGAAGGCCCUCGGGUUGUAAAGCACUUUCAGUGAGGAAGAACGCCUGGUGGUUAAUACCCAUCAGGAAAGACAUCACUCACAGAAGAAGCACCGGCUAACUCCGUGCCAGCAGCCGCGGUAAUACGGAGGGUGCGAGCGUUAAUCGGAAUUACUGGGCGUAAAGCGCGCGUAGGUGGCUUGAUAAGCCGGUUGUGAAAGCCCCGGGCUCAACCUGGGAACGGCAUCCGGAACUGUCAAGCUAGAGUGCAGGAGAGGAAGGUAGAAUUCCCGGUGUAGCGGUGAAAUGCGUAGAGAUCGGGAGGAAUACCAGUGGCGAAGGCGGCCUUCUGGACUGGCACUGACACUGAGGUGCGAAAGCGUGGGUAGCAAACAGGAUUAGAUACCCGAGUAGUC